rnacentral:rRNA from 1 species
UGGGGAAUAUUGCACAAUGGGCGCAAGCCUGAUGCAGCAACGCCGCGUGAACGAUGAAGGUCUUCGGAUCGUAAAUCUCUGUUGCAGGGGAAGAUAAUGACGGUACCCUGUGAGGAAGCCCCGGCUAACUACGUGCCAGCAGCCGCGGUAAUACGUAGGGGGCUAGCGUUAUCCGGAUUUACUGGGCGUAAAGGGUGCGUAGGUGGUCUUUCAAGUCGGUGGUUAAAGGCUACGGCUAAACCGUAGUUAGCCUCCGAAACUGGAAGGCUUGAGUGCAGGAGAGGAGAGUGGAAUUCCCAGUGUAGCGAUGAAAUGCGUAGAUAUUGGGAGGAACACCAGUAGCGAAGGCGGCUUUCUGGACUGCAACUGACACUGAGGCACGAAAGCGUGGGUAGCAAACAGG